AGCUUCUCUGGUAGCAUUACUCACAGUGGGGGCUCUCUGCUAGCCGCAUCACCAUACUCUGCAUGCUAUACUUUACAGCAUCAUGGCCACAUCAGAGGAUUGCAGUAAGAAUGAGAGAGCACAUGUGAAGUGCCCAGAAGAAUGCCUGGAGUCCAGCAGACAUGAAUAACAGACUACUACAUACCAGGUGCUACACUAGGUCCUAAUGUCACAAAGAGGAAUAAGGUGAUGUCCCUGCUCUCCAUGAGACCUCUGUCCAUAAAGUGAAGAUGCUGAAUAGAAAAGAGCACUGUGGAUAAAAGGGAAAUAGGCAGAGAAAUCUGUUUGCUCCUCUGUUUUCCCAACUGAAAAGCCCUUCAUCCUCACCUCUGUUUAAAGCUCUCAGCAUAUCAUCGUGCUGCCUCCAGGAGAUGCUCGGAGGAGAGAAGGCUUGAGGUGAGAAGGAUGAGCAGGGGAACCAGUGGAGAGUAGGUCACAGCUUUCAGGACAACUGCGCUCUGGGACAGAAAACGAGGCCCAGAGGCCUCGCCACCAGCCGCAGCCUGACCUUGGGCAAGCCACUCAACAUCGCAGAGCUUCAGCAGCUGCAGCAUCUGUGGCAGAAGAUAAUAAAAAGUAACACCUGCCCUGCUUGCCUAUUGGCAACGCGAAAGGAAAUAUAAAGAGCUAACGUGUCAGAAAUUUCUUUGCUAGAGGGCUAUGUGAAUGUAAAGAAUAAUGUAAUGAAAGAAUAAUACAUGUUUAUAUACUGGGCAUUUCACUGUUAUGGGAACUAGGAAGACAGUGUCUGUACUCAGGAGAUGUUUAAUUCAUAAAGACAGAUUCAUACCUACAAAUACAUGCAUAAUUCACUGAAAUUAUGAAGAACAGGCUAAAUCCAACCACUUAAUUUAAACAUGCUCUAUGAGGUUUCAACAUGUCAUAGUGGAAGAAAAAACCUGGAUCCAUUAUAUAAUGAGCUCACGCUAACAUAAUCAGACUGGGCAUUCCUUAAGGACUUAUGCAGCCUUGUGUUACCUAAGUUCCCACUUUUUCAUCAG